rnacentral:rRNA from 1 species
UACGUAGGGUGCAAGCGUUAAUCGGAAUUACUGGGCGUAAAGCGUGCGCAGGCGGUUAUGCAAGACAGAGGUGAAAUCCCCGGGCUCAACCUGGGAACUGCCUUUGUGACUGCAUAGCUAGAGUACGGUAGAGGGGGAUGGAAUUCCGCGUGUAGCAGUGAAAUGCGUAGAUAUGCGGAGGAACACCGAUGGCGAAGGCAAUCCCCUGGACCUGUACUGACGCUCAUGCACGAAAGCUAGGGGAGCGAACAGG